GACGUAGGGCGCGAGCGUUGUCCGGAUUUAUUGGGCGUAAAGAGCUCGUAGGCGGCUUGUCGCGUCGAAUGUGAAAUCUCAGGGCUCAACUCUGACAUUGCAUUCGAUACGGGCAGGCUCGAGUUCGGUAGGGGAGACUGGAAUUCCUGGCGUAGCGGUGAAAUGCGCAGAUAUCAGGAGGAACACCGAUGGCGAAGGCAGCCCCCUGGGCUGAGAUUGACGCUCAGGCACGAAAGCGUGGGGAGCAAACAGG
rnacentral:rRNA from 1 species